rnacentral:rRNA from 1 species
UACGGAGGAGGCAAGCGUUAUCCGGAAUUAUUGGGCGUAAAGCGUCCGCAGGUGGCACUUCAAGUCUGUCGUCAAAGACUGGGGCUUAACCCUGGAAAGGCGGUGGAAACUGAAGCGCUAGAGUGCGGUAGGGGUAGAGGGAAUUCCCGGUGUAGCGGUGAAAUGCGUAGAGAUCGGGAAGAACAUCGGUGGCGAAAGCGGCGUGCUGGACACCUUCUGACGCUGAGGCGCGAAAGCCAGGGGAGCGAACGGG